ACUGCCCUAAGCCUACUAAUCCGCGCCGAGCUAAGCCAGCCCGGCGCACUCUUGGGCGACGACCAGAUCUAUAAUGUUAUCGUCACUGCUCAUGCAUUCGUUAUAAUCUUUUUCAUAGUUAUACCCGUAAUAAUCGGGGCUUUGGCAACUGACUUAUUCCAUUAAUAAUUGGUGCCCCGGACAUAGCCUUCCCCCGAAUAAAUAAUAUAAGCUUCUGACUACUUCCCCCAUCACUGCUUCUUCUACUUGCCUCAUCUGGCGUCGAAGCAGGCGCAGGAACUGGAUGAACCGUAUACCCCCCCCUCGCCGCCAACCUAGCCCAUGCAGGCGCAUCCGUAGACCUCGUUAUUUUUUCACUACAUCUGGCAGGCGUAUCAUCAAUUCUGGGGGCUAUCAACUUCAUCACCACCUGCAUCAACAUAAAAUCCCCCACUCUUUCACAAUACAAUACCCCACUGUUUGUCUGAUCUGUAAUAAUCACAGCUGUGUUAUUAUUACUGGCUCUGCCAGUUCUCGCUGCCGGAAUCACCAUACUUCUAACAGACCGAAACCUUAAU
rnacentral:rRNA from 1 species